AGUUCUGAGCUUAGAAAAAGGAAUAAGUGCUGUUCCUCUGGAUUUAGGGGAUUGAGUUUAGGUCCAGCAGUCACACUAGCUUUAGCGGGGAUUGAUAUUGUAAAUCACGAUUAGAUUCAGGCUGAGGCUGGCAGGCUUCAGGCCUAAGCUUGUCUUUGUAAGUUGCACGGAUCACUUCUCUCUCUCCACUAGUCCGGAACCCAAGAGAGCGAGGAUUGGCUGGCAGCUCCCUUAUAUGGGCAGGGGCUGGCCUUGAGCUCAUUGGUCCAUACCAUCUGUCAUUCACUUUACAAGGCAUUAUGGUCUAAUCAUGUGACCACACAUGAGACCUAGGAAGGUCCUUCAAGACACCUUACUAGAAUUAACAUGAGUCAUGUGACCUAAGGUCCUGCAACACUAUAUAGAUAAUGAAACAUACAAUUAUUUAUACAUGUAGACAUCAUAGAAUUGAAUAAGGAAGAGGCGACUAGGGGCUAUCCUACUAGGAGGAGGCUACUGGAACGAAGUAACUCUGACUUUGGGGACCACCACACAAGAUGCAUUAUUUCCAGCAUGUGGAGUAGCAUUUCCGGACUUAAAGCAAGAAGUUGGAUGAUGGCCUAGAUUUCCGGACCUACAGCAAGACGUUGGAUGAAGGCCUAGAUUUCCGGACCUACAGCAAGACGUUGGAUGAAGGCACAGCCCCUCAAAUCACGAACAUACACUGACACAUUGGCCCAAAUUCUAGAGGUAACCUCCUUUAGUAUGCCCAGAGGAAGGGCAAUACAGUAGCCAUGGAUUCCCUACAGGUUUCCUCCCCUCUGGAGGUUUUUCCUGUCCUGAGUUAGUUACUGUACGCUCUUUGUGAGUGAUGGAGGUUACAAAAAAUCCCUACACAAACACUUUAAUAAAUAAUAAAGUUUCCCUUUUUUUAAACUAUU